GGAAUAUUGGACAAUGGGGGAAACCCUGAUCCAGCCAUGCCGCGUGAGUGAUGAAGGCCCUCGGGUCGUAAAGCUCUGUGGCGAGGGACGAAGGUCCCUGGGUUAAUAGCCCAGGGGAUGACGGUACCUCGUUAGCAAGCACCGGCUAACUCCGUGCCAGCAGCCGCGGUAAUACGGAGGGUGCAAACGUUGCUCGGAAUUAUUGGGCGUAAAGCGCACGUAGGCGGACUGAUAAGUCGGGUGUGAAAGCCCUCGGCUCAACCGAGGAAGUGCAUUCGAAACUGCCAGUCUUGAGUACAGGAGAGGGUCGCGGAAUUCCCGGUGUAGAGGUGAAAUUCGUAGAUAUCGGGAGGAACACCAGUGGCGAAGGCGGCGACCUGGACUGAUACUGACGCUGAGGUGCGAAAGCGUGGGGAGCA
rnacentral:rRNA from 1 species